rnacentral:rRNA from 1 species
UCGAGAAUUUUUCACAAUGGGGGAAACCCUGAUGGAGCGACGCCGCGUGGAGGAUGAAGGCCUUUUGGUCGUAAACUCCUGUCAAACGGGAACAAGAAAGUGAUAGUACCGUUAGAGGAAGAGACGGCUAACUCUGUGCCAGCAGCCGCGGUAAUACAGAGGUCUCAAGUGUUGUUCGGAUUCAUUGGGCGUAAAGGGUGCGUAGGUGGCAUUGUAAGUUGAAGGUGAAAUCUCGGGGCUUAACUCCGAAACUGCCUUCAAUACUGCAGUGCUCGAGGAUUGUAGAGGAGAAUGGAAUUCACGGUGCAGCAGUGAAAUGCGUAGAUAUCGUGAGGAAGACCAGUGGCGAAAGCGAUUCUCUGGGCAAUUCCUGACACUGAGGCACGAAGGCCAGGGGAGCAAACG